UACGUAGGGUGCGAGCGUUAAUCGGAAUUACUGGGCGUAAAGUGUGCGCAGGCGGCCGAGCAAGUCGAGUGUGAAAGCCCCGAGCUUAACCGAGGAACUGCCCUCCAAACUGCUUGGCUUGAGACCAGGAGAGGUGAGUGGAAUUCCCAGUGUAGCGGUGAAAUGCGUAGAUAUUGGGAGGAACACCCGUAGCGAAGGCGGCACUCUGGGCCGGUACUGACGCUGAGGAGCGAAAGCGUGGGGAGCAAACAGG
rnacentral:rRNA from 1 species